CCGGGGCAUGCACGCCAGAGGCAGGAGCUGGGCCUGGGCACGGGGGCAGGAGGAGACCCAGGCCGGCUCUGCCCCUCCCUCUCCGGGGCCUGGCUUCCACAUGUGGAGGGGGUGAUGCUAGCGGCGUGCCCCACCCUGGCUCCCGGGGCUCCAAGAAGAUUUCAUGAGCACGCACUUCCCUUGAGUGCUCAGCGUAUAGCUCACUCUCAGGGAAUGGCGCCCUUCCAGCCUGGCUCUCCAAGCUCACGCAUUUUUAAAUUCACCCAAACACAGUCAAGCUGAACAUAUGGUUUUGUAACCUAACGAGAUUGUCCUUAUUUUUCCAUAUCAUUACAUUUUCUUCCCGACAUCAUUUCUAAGCAUGUUCCAUUGUAUAACAUAUCCGAUCGGUUCUCUUUAAGAUUUCUAGUUGGGGUAAAAUACAUAUCAUGCAGUUUGCCAUUGUAACUUUGCUUAGUGUACUGUUUGUUGGUGUUAGAUACUCCACACGAUUGUGCAACCAGUCUCCAGAACGUUGUUACCUUCCUCGACUGGAAACCAAUCCUUUUUUGAUAGUUAGGUCAUUUACUUAAAAAAAUAUAUAUAUUCAAAGUGGAUGUCUUUCCAUACGUGUUUCUGAAGCUAAGCGAUGGGAGUCAUCUGAGCCAUGGCCUACUCCAAUGACUCUUUUCAGAUAAAUUCUUAGAAGUGGGAUUUCUAGGCCAAAGGACGGGCCCUCAUGUAAACUCUCCAUCGUGGAACAUGUCACACAAACAAAAGCAGAGUGAACGUGCGUCACUGGCUGCACUCUUGUUAGCUUUUCUAUCUGUCCCACCGGGCACCCAUAAACCCAUUCUGGCAUCAAAGCGCCCUGCCUGUAGCAGUCACUCAUGCCCAUUCUCACCGUGGCCUGGUUCAAGUUACAACCGCUUGACAACUGGUUUGCAAAACUCCUUGAUGGCUAACAAUCAUCUCCCACAAACCAGUAGUCGUUGGCUCGACCAUACCCUGCUCCAAUUCACUAUCCCUCAUUUUCUUUUGCAAGGGGCAUGGCGUGGCAGGGGGGUGGGGGUGCGGCAAUUGAGUACCUUAAAGGAAAUCCCAGAGGGUAUCAGUUUACUCAUAAAUAGUUCAGUGCAAAAUCUGACAGAUGAAGACUUUAACAAAAAUACACAGUCUGUGCUCCGCUUCCUUCAAUCGGCUCCAAAAUGUCUUUUUUACAGUUUGGUUUGUUCAACGUAGGAUCCAGUUGCGUUUGGCUCUUUCCAUUCUAGAACAUUUCGGUUCCCUUCAUUCUCCUCGCCCACUCCCCGCCCCAAGUUGUUUAUAGAAGAAACUGGGUCAUUUAUCUUACAGAAUUUUCCAUGUACGAGAGCUGGCUGGGUUUCCUCCAUCACGUGAUCCUCCAUCAUGGUUUUGUCGUCUACACUGGCAUCCUAUCACAUCGCUUUCAGGGGCUGAGCCUCCGGGCCUCCUGUCGACAUGCCCAGGAUAACCGGUGGGCUUAGCUGCUAUCAGUCGAAUUCCUUCUUUGGAAAGUUCCUUGCCGACCCUCCGCCUCAUCGAUUUAGUAGCCUUUGGGGAUUGUUCCUUAGAUCGACUAUUUCAUCAGAGGCUGCCAGAGAGACUUUUCAAACACCAUCAUCUCUUCUGCAUUUAUCAGCUCUGGUCCUCUCUUAAAAAACAUUCCCUAAUACCGACACAGUUAUCCUGAAAUGUAGUCUGCAGAGGAAAGGCCCAGAUGCUCAGUUCUUAACCAGUUUUCAGAAUAGGUGGGCUCCCCAAGAGAUUUGUGGUAGUUUCCCAAUAUCACUGUGAUCCCACUGAUUAUUACAUAUUUAAUGUACUUAUUGAUUUCCAAAUGAUCCCACUGGGACUAUGGGCUUGGAGGCCCUUCAUGUCAGCUCCUGUGUCAUUUUGAUGGGACCCCCCACUAAUGCUUGAUAACAUUUUGCUUUUAAGCACAAGAUGUCCCAGCUCAUCUUGGCCCUGGGAUGCACUGUUGCCCUGUAACAGCCUGGGUCUCUUAGUGGCGGUCUAGCUCUGCAUGUACCAUAUGCGCCCUGGUCACACUGAACGUCCCCAGGGACCCCUGCAGAGCCUGGCUUCUUUUCCAAGCUGCAUCGUGCUCCAUAGCGUGGGGAAGCCCAGCUUACUCAGCCAGGCUGUAUGGGUCCUGGAGGAUGUUGGGGAGUGGCCAUGGCGGCCACAGAGCCUGUCUCCCACGUCUGAGAUACAGGAGGCCCCUGGCUCGGCCUGGCUCUCGGAGCCCCUCCAGCAGCAGGCAGCCUGGUGGCGUGAUGGGAAGGGUGCCGGCGCAGGCCAGGCGCCCAGGGCUGUCAGCAGCCACGGCUCUGACACCAGGGCCACGUCCAGCUGGAGUGUCUCAGCCUCGCUCUGCAGAUACAUGCACGCCGAGGGGCAGGACACCCGCGACGGGCGCCAGUCCUGAGGCUCGGCCCGGCCAGCAGACGCACACGCCGCUGGCAGCUCCGUUGGCGCCCCAGCCUGACCUCCGUCCACGGUUAACUCCGAACAGGCCCUACGAGUGACAUGGCCUCCCUUGCCCCCUACCCCUCCUGCCACCCCUCAGCCCUGGCUGUGCCCACUCCCUGGAUGCCCUUCUCUCUGCCCUUCCAGGGCUCACACUGCCAUCGGGGCACCCAGAGCAUGCCGCCUCCUCCUCCAGGAAGCCUUCUUGAACUUCUCAAACCUCGAAAUGCUAAUGCUGGCGUGUCCCACACCUUCUCUUAGUAGUGGGUCCCGGGGUCAGAGAGGCUGAGGCCAGUGUGGGGAGCAGGCAUGGCUCAUCCAUGACCUCACACAUGAGUUAGCAGAAAAAGAGCGGCCAGUCGCUUGCUUCUGUGACUCUCACACCUGCCAUCCUUUCUGGCCUGUCACCUUCCAGACCUCCUUCUGGUGCCUGGGGACUCGGCCCAGCCAGGCACCAUGGUGACAAGUCUGCGGGGCCCUUGUCCUGCCCAAGAUGGGAGGCAGGCGAGGAAAGCCCUGCCAUAUGCUUGCUGGUCACCCUGAGUCAGAGGCGUCUGUCUCUCGUAAUCGGGCAUGGUGGGGCUCACACACCAAUUCCCGCAGCUCUGGGAGUGAAGGGUCGACGUUUACAUCUUUAACCAGCCUAGCCUGGCAGCCACGGGGAUGGCUGAGAUGCGGGAUAGAGUCUGAGGAUCGCAAAUGGGAACAGCGCCAGCCACAGGUGCAAGCGAUACGGCAUUGCCCGGGGUGUGCAGAGCAGAGCUGCAGACAGGCAUGUGCACGCUCACCCAGUGGCAGGGGCGCAAGGAGGGGGGUGGGAGGGGACCGGGCUGACCCGGUGGCCCCUGGACACUUGUGUCCCUAGCCUGGCUAUGCUGAGGACCCAGGAGACCCACCGAGGGCUUUGGGAGGCAGGGCUGGGGGCAGGCGGGAUGGCACUGAGGGGCCUCCGGGAAGGACGGAAGGGAGGGAGGGGCGCUGGCAGGGAAGGGGACAGCUGUGCGGGGAAGGACAGCAAAGCAGAGGCUGGGAGGCAGAGAGGUGGUGGCAGGCCCCGCAACAGGCCGACAGCCCGACAGCCCGGUGGAGCCCGCUGACACUGCCCGUCCUCGGCUCUCCCUGAAGUCUUUGCCGCCCUGCCAGCCAAGACGCUUUGGCGGGGAUGGUGCUGAAUUGUUAAUCUGCCCCCUGGGACCAUAAACGGUUUUAAAGCUUUAUAAA